UACGAAGGGGGCUAGCGUUGCUCGGAAUCACUGGGCGUAAAGGGUGCGUAGGCGGGUCUUUAAGUCAGGGGGGAAAUCCUGGAGCUCAACUCCAGAACUGCCUUUGAUACUGGGGAUCUCGAGUCCGGGAGAGGUGAGUGGAACUGCGAGUGUAGAGGUGAAAUUCGUAGAUAUUCGCAAGAACACCAGUGGCGAAGGCGGCUCACUGGCCCGGUACUGACGCUGAGGUGCGAAAGCGUGGGGAGCAAACAGG
rnacentral:rRNA from 1 species